rnacentral:rRNA from 1 species
GAUGAACGCUAGCGGGAGGCUUAACACAUGCAAGUCGAGCGGGAUUAGCAGCAAUGCUAUGAGAGCGGCGGACGGGUGCGUAACGCGUAUGCAACCUGCCUAUAAGACUGGGAUAACUUCGGGGAAACCGGAGCUAAUACCGGAUAAUUCUUUUCUACACAUGUAGAAAAGCUAAAAGACGGUUUACGCUGUCACUUAUAGAUGGGCCCGCGGCGCAUUAGCUAGUUGGUGAGGUAACGGCUCACCAAGGCCACGAUGCGUAGCCGACCUGAGAGGGUGAUCGGCCACACUGGGACUGAGACACGGCCCAGACUCCUACGGGUGGCAG